UACGUAGGGGGCAAGCGUUGUCCGGAUUCAUUGGGCGUAAAGAGCGUGUAGGCGGCCAGGUAGGUCGGUUGUGAAAACUGGAGGCUCAACCUUCAGAGGUCGACCGAAACCAUCUGGCUAGAGUCCGGGAGAGGAGAGUGGAAUUCCAGGUGUAGCGGUGAAAUGCGUAGAUAUCUGGAGGAACACCGGUGGCGAAGGCGGCAUCCUGGACCGGCAUUGACGCUGAGGAGCGAAAGCCAGGGGAGCAAAGCGGG
rnacentral:rRNA from 1 species